UUGCGUAGGUGGUUUGUAAAGCGAAUAGUGAAAUCUGGCGGCUCAACCGUACAGGCUAUUAUUCGAACUCACAAACUCGAGAAUGGUAGAGGUUACUGGAAUUUCUAGUGUAGGAGUGAAAUCCGUAGAUAUUAGAAGGAACACCAAUGGCGUAGGCAGGUAACUGGACCAUUUCUGACACUAAGGCACGAAAGCGUGGGGAGCGAACC
rnacentral:rRNA from 1 species